rnacentral:rRNA from 1 species
CCCGGGCCUUGUACACACCGCCCGUCACACCAUGGGAGUGGGUUUCACCAGAAGUAGGUAGCUUAACCUUCGGGGGGGCGCUUACCACGGUGAGAUUCAUGACUGGGGUG